rnacentral:rRNA from 1 species
CGAAAGCCUGACGGAGCAAGACCGCGUGGGGGAGGAAGGUUCUUGGAUUGUCAACCCCUUUUCUCAGGGAAGAAGUUCUGACGGUACCUGAGGAAUAAGCAUCGGCUAACUCCGUGCCAGCAGCCGCGGUAAUACGGAGGAUGCAAGCGUUAUCCGGAAUGAUUGGGCGUAAAGAGUCCGUAGGUGGCGAUUCAAGUCUAUUGUCAAAGAGCGAGGCUUAACUUCGCUAAGGCCGUAGAAACUGAAAAGCUAGAGAGCAGUAGGGGCAGAAGGAAUUCCUGGUGUAGCGGUGAAAUGCGUAGAGAUCAGGAAGAACACCGGUGGCGAAAGCGUUCUGCUGGGCUGCGACUGACACUGAGGGACGAAAGCUAGGGGAGCG